rnacentral:rRNA from 1 species
AUUGAACGCUGGCGGCAGGCCUAACACAUGCAAGUCGAGCGAGCGUCGGACGGGUGAGUGAUGUAUGGGGACUGCCCGAUAGAGGGGGAUGACUGCUGGAAACGGUGACUAAUACCGCAUACUGUCGGAUGACCCAUAUGGGAUUAGCUAGUAGGUAAGGUAAUGGCUUACCUGGGCGACGAUCCCUAGCUGGUCUGAGAGGAUGAGCAGCCACCCUGGGACUGAGACACGGCCCAGACUCCACCGGAGGCAGCAGUGGGGAAUAUUGCACAAUGGGCGAAAGCCUGAUGCAGCCAUGCCGCGUGUAUGAAGAAGGCCCUAGGGUUGUAAAGUACUUUCAGUCGGGAGGCGUUACCGACAGAAGAAGCACCGGCUAACUCCGUGCCAGCAGCCGCGGUAAUAC